UACAGAGGUCUCAAGCGUUGUUCGGAUUCAUUGGGCGUAAAGGGUGCGUAGGUGGCGGGGUUAGUCUGGUGUGAAAUCUCGGAGCUCAACUCCGAAACUGCACUGGAUACUGCCUUGCUUGAGUACUGGAGAGGAGAUUGGAAUUUACGGUGUAGCAGUGAAAUGCGUAGAUAUCGUAAGGAAGACCAGUGGCGAAGGCGAAUCUCUGGACAGUUACUGACGCUGAGGCUCGAAGGCCAGGGUAGCGAAAGGG
rnacentral:rRNA from 1 species